CCUACGGGAGGCAGCAGUGAGGAAUAUUGGUCAAUGGGCUUACGCCUGAACCAGCCAAGUCGCGUGAGGGAAGACUGCCCUAUGGGUUGUAAACCUCUUUUGUCAGGGAGCAACGCCGGCUACGUGUAGCCGGACUGAGAGUACCUGAAGAAAAAGCAUCGGCUAACUCCGUGCCAGCAGCCGCGGUAAUACGGAGGCUGCGAGCGUUAUCCGGAUUUAUUGGGUUUAAAGGGUGCGUAGGCGGAAUGCCAAGUCAGCGGUAAAAUCGCGGGGCUCAACCUCGCUCCGCCGUUGAAACUGGCGUUCUUGAGUGGGCGAGAAGUAUGCAGAAUGCGUGGUGUAGCGGUGAAAUGCAUAGAUAUCACGAAGAACUCCGAUUGCGAAGGCAGCAUACCGGCGCCCGACUGACGCUGAGGCACGAAAGCGUGGGGAUCGAACAGGAUUAGAUACCCCGGUAGUC
rnacentral:rRNA from 1 species